CCUACGGGAGGCAGCAGUGAGGGAUAUUGCACAAUGGGGGAAACCCUGAUGCAGCGACGCCGCGUGGGUGAAGAAGCACCUCGGCGCGUAAAGCCCUGUCAGCAGGGAAGAAAAUGACGGUAACUGGAGAAGAAACCCCGGCUAACUAAGGGCCAACAGCCGCGGUAAUACGUAGGGGGCAAGCGUUAACCGGAUUUACUGGGUGUAAAGGGGGCGUAGACGGCGAUGCAAGCCAGGAGUGAAAGCCCAGGGCCCAACCCCGGGACUGCUUUUGGAACUGCGUGGCUAGAGUGAAGGAGGGGCAGGCGGAAUUCCUGGUGUAGCGGUGGAAUGCGUAGAUAUCAGGAGGAACACCGGUGGCGAAGGCGUCCUGCUGGACUGCAACUGACGUUGAGGCCCGAAAGCGUGGGGAGCAAACAGGAUUAGAUACCCCAGUAGUC
rnacentral:rRNA from 1 species